rnacentral:rRNA from 1 species
GACGAACGCUGGCGGCAUGCCUAAUACAUGCAAGUCGAGCGAACAGAUGAAGUGCUUGCACUUCUGACGUUAGCGGCGAACGGGUGAGUAACACGUAAGGAAUCUGCCUAUAAGCGGGGGAUAACAUUCGGAAACGGGUGCUAAUACCGCAUAAUAUCUUCUUCCGCAUGGAAGAAGAUUGAAAGACGGCUCUGCUGUCACUUAUAGAUGACCUUGCGGUGCAUUAGUUAGUUGGUGGGGUAACGGCCUACCAAGACGAUGAUGCAUAGCCGACCUGAGAGGGUGAUCGGCCACAUUGGGACUGAGAAACGGCCCAAACUCCUACGGGAGGCAGCAGUAGGGAAUCUUCCGCAAUGGGCGAAAGCCUGACGGAGCAAUGCCGCGUGAGUGAAGAAGGCCUUCGGGUCGUAAAACUCUGUUAUAAGAGAAGAACAAAUUGUAGAGUAACUGCUACAGUCUUGACGGUAUCUUAUCAGAAAGCCACGGCUAACUACGUGCCAGCAGCCGCAGUAA